UGGUAGUGUAAAGGACUACCAAGGCGAUGAUACAUCGCCGACCUGAGAGGGUGAUCGGCCACACUGGGAUUGAGACACGGCCCAGACUCCUACGGGAGGCAGCCGUAGGGAAUCUUCGGCAAUGGGGGCAACCCUGACCGAGCAACGCCGCGUGAGUGAAGAAGGUUUUCGGAUCGUAAAACUCUGUUGUUAGAGAAGAACGUUAAGUAGAGUGGAAAAUUACUUAAGUGACGGUAUCUAACCAGAAAGGGACGGCUAACUACGUGCCAGCAGCCGCGGUAAUACGUAGGUCCCAAGCGUUGUCCGGAUUUAUUGGGCGUAAAGCGAGCGCAGGUGGUUUCUUAAGUCUGAUGUAAAAGGCAGUGGCUCAACCAUUGUGUGCAUUGGAAACUGGGAGACUUGAGUGCAGGAGAGGAGAGUGGAAUUUCCAUGUGUAGCGGUGAAAUGCGUAGAUAUAUGGAGGAACACCGGAGGCGAAAGCGGCUCUCUGGCCUGUAACUGACACUGAGGCUCGAAAGCGUGGGGAGCAAACAGGAUUAGAUACCCUGGUAGUCCACGCCGUAAACGAUGAGUGCUAGCUGUAGGGAGCUAUAAGUUCUCUGUAGCGCAGCUAACGCAUUAAGCACUCCGCCUGGGGAGUACGACCGCAAGGUUGAAACUCAAAGGAAUUGACGGGGGCCCGCACAAGCGGUGGAGCAUGUGGUUUAAUUCGAAGCAACGCGAAGAACCUUACCAGGUCUUGACAUACUCGUGCUAUCCUUAGAGAUAAGGAGUUCCUUCGGGACACGGGAUACAGGUGGUGCAUGGUUGUCGUCAGCUCGUGUCGUGAGAUGUUGGGUUAAGUCCCGCAACGAGCGCAACCCUUAUUACUAGUUGCCAUCAUUAAGUUGGGCACUCUAGUGAGACUGCCGGUGAUAAACCGGAGGAAGGUGGGGAUGACGUCAAAUCAUCAUGCCCCUUAUGACCUGGGCUACACACGUGCUACAAUGGAUGGUACAACGAGUCGCCAACCCGCGAGGGUGCGCUAAUCUCUUAAAACCAUUCUCAGUUCGGAUUGCAGGCUGCAACUCGCCUGCAUGAAGUCGGAAUCGCUAGUAAUCGCGGAUCAGCACGCCGCGGUGAAUACGUUCCCGGGCCUUGUACACACCGCCCGUCACACCACGGAAGUUGGGAGUACCCAAAGUAGGUUGCCUAACCGCAAGGAGGGCGC
rnacentral:rRNA from 1 species